rnacentral:rRNA from 1 species
CUCAGGAUUAACGCUGGCGGCGUGCCUAAUACAUGCAAGUCGAACGGAAGUUUAAGCAAUUAAACUUUAGUGGCGAACGGGUGAGUAACGCGUAAGCAAUCUGCCCCUAAGACGAGGAUAACAGUUGGAAACGACUGCUAAGACUGGAUAGGAGACAAGAAGGCAUCUUCUUGUUUUUAAAAGACCUAGCAAUAGGUAUGCUUAGGGAGGAGCUUGCGUCACAUUAGUUAGUUGGUGGGGUAAAGGCCUACCAAGACUAUGAUGUGUAGCCGGGCUGAGAGGUUGAACGGCCACAUUGGGACUGAGACACGGCCCAAACUCCUACGGGAGGCAGCAGUAGGGAAUUUUCGGCAAUGGAGGAAACUCUGACCGAGCAACGCCGCGUGAACGAUGAAGUAUUUCGGUACGUAAAGUUCUUUUAUUAGGGAAGAAUAAAUGAUGGAAAAAUCAUUCUGACGGUACCUAAUGAAUAAGCCCCGGCUAACUAUGUGCCAGCAGCCGCGGUAAUACAUAGGGGGCAAGCGUUAUCCGGAAUUAUUGGGCGUAAAGGGUGCGUAGGCGGUUAAAUAAGUUUAUGGUCUAAGUGCAAUGCUCAACAUUGUGAUGCUAUAAAAACUGUUUAGCUAGAGUAAGAUAGAGGCAAGUGGAAUUCCAUGUGUAGUGGUAAAAUGCGUAAAUAUAUGGAGGAACACCAGUAGCGAAGGCGGCUUGCUGGGUCUUUACUGACGCUGAGGCACGAAAGCGUGGGGAGCAAACAGGAUUAGAUACCCUGGUAGUCCACGCCGUAAACGAUGAGUACUAAACGUUGGGUAAAACCAGUGUUGAAGUUAACACAUUAAGUACUCCGCCUGAGUAGUACGUACGCAAGUAUGAAACUUAAAGGAAUUGACGGGACUCCGCACAAGCGGUGGAUCAUGUUGUUUAAUUCGAAGGUACCCGAAAAACCUCACCAGGUCUUGACAUGCUUCUGCAAAGCUGUAGAAACACAGUGGAGGUUAUCAGUUGCACAGGUGGUGCAUGGUUGUCGUCAGCUCGUGUCGUGAGAUGUUGGGUUAAGUCCCGCAACGAGCGCAACCCUUAUUGUUAGUUACCAGCACGUAAUGGUGGGGACUUUAGCAAGACUGCCAGUGAUAAAUUGGAGGAAGGUGGGGACGACGUCAAAUCAUCAUGCCCCUUAUGACCUGGGCUACAAACGUGAUACAAUGGCUGUUACAAAGGGUAGCUGAAGCGCAAGUUUUUGGCGAAUCUCAAAAAAACAGUCUCAGUUCGGAUUGAAGUCUGCAACUCGACUUCAUGAAGUUGGAAUCGCUAGUAAUCGCGAAUCAGCAUGUCGCGGUGAAUACG